AUUGAACGCUGGCGGCAGGCCUAACACAUGCAAGUCGAACGAGUGGCGGACGGGUGAGUAAUGUCUGGGAAACUGCCUGAUGGAGGGGGAUAAAUACUGGAAACGGUAGCUAAUACCGCAUACCAUCGGAUGUGCCCAGAUGGGAUUAGCUAGUAGGUGGGGUAAAGGCUCACCUAGGCGACGAUCCCUAGCUGGUCUGAGAGGAGGACCAGCAACACGUGAACUGAGACAGGGUCCAGACGCCUAGGGGAGGCAGCAGGGGGGAAGAUUGCACAAUGGGCGAAAGCCUGAUGCAGCCAGGCCGCGUGUAUGAAGAAGGCCUUGGGGUUGUAAAGUACUUUCAGCGGGGAGGCGUUACCCGCAGAAGAAGAACCGGCUAACUCCGUGCCAGCAGCCGCGGAAUUC
rnacentral:rRNA from 1 species